rnacentral:tRNA from 1 species
GGAAGAGAGGCAUCCCCGGUGGGGUGGCUGGUCUUCAAAACCAGAGGGGGCCGCCAGCGGUCCCAGGUGGGUUCGACUCCCAUUCUCUUCCGCCA